AAAGCAGCGAGGCCGGGGUCCGAACUGGGGUUCUGUGCCCGCUGGGCUGCUGCCCCAGCUGGACUAUCGCCAUGUAACUCAGCGCCGAAUACCUCAUGGAGAAGCUGCAGCGGGACCUGACGGCGGAGCAUGUGGCAGUGGAGGACAACACCACCCGCAGCCGUUGCGCCUGUAGCUUCCGAGUCCUGGCGGUAUCGGCCAAGUUCGAGCGCAAGUCCCUGCUUCAGAGACACCGGCUGGUGAACGCGUGCCUAGCAGAAGGGCUCCUGCACAUCAAUACCUUUGAACAGAAAACCCUGAUCCCAGAGCAGUGGGCCCGUGAGCGGUAGAAAUGAGGGACUGGGACUUGCACAGCCAUUAAAUUAUAAAUCUGGAAAAAAAA